AGCGAACGCUGGCGGCAGGCCUAACACAUGCAAGUCGAACGGAUCCUUCGGGAUUAGUGGCGGACGGGUGAGUAACACGUGGGAACGUGCCCUUUGGUUCGGAACAACUCAGGGAAACUUGAGCUAAUACCGGAUGUGCCCUUCGGGGGAAAGAUUUAUCGCCAUUGGAGCGGCCCGCGUCUGAUUAGCUAGUUGGUGAGGUAACGGCCCACCAAGGCGACGAUCAGUAGCUGGUCUGAGAGGAUGAUCAGCCACACUGGGACUGAGACACGGCCCAGACUCCUACGGGAGGCAGCAGUGGGGAAUCUUGCGCAAUGGGCGAAAGCCUGACGCAGCCAUGCCGCGCGAAUGAUGAAGGUCUUAGGAUUGUAAAAUUCUUUCAGCGGGGACGAUAAUGACGGUACCCGCAGAAGAAGCUCCGGCUAACUUCGUG
rnacentral:rRNA from 1 species